GAAGGUGUAGCGCAGUCUGGUCAGCACGUCUGUUAAGUACAAAAAAUCAAAGGUUCGAAUCCUUUCACCUUGA
rnacentral:tRNA from 1 species